rnacentral:rRNA from 1 species
GACGAACCGUGCUAACGUUGUUCGGAAUCACUGGGCUUAAAGGGCGCGUAGGCGGGCACGUAAGUCAGGGGUGAAAGCCCACGGCUCAACCGUGGAAGGGCCUUUGAUACUGCGUGUCUGGAGGGAGGUAGGGGCGUGCGGAACUUCCGGUGGAGCAGUGAAAUGCGUAGAUAUCGGAAGGAACACCGGUGGCGAAAGCGGCGCGCUGGACCUCUUCUGACGCUGAGGCGCGAAAGCCAGGGGAGCAAACGGG